UUUCCUCUUGAGCUGGUGUUUUUUCUGCUCUGAAGGUAUAAAAUGCUUUCCUGGUUACCACUGAUGAAGCCAAACAUGUUUCCUAAUUAAUUAAAAGGCCAUGUAUUCAUUUUUAAAUGCAGGCAAAUAGUCGGGACGAAUACCGUCUUACAGUGGACUUUGUGAAAACAAGAUGUAAAAAGAGUAGGAAGAUGAAAUAUAAGGGAAUCCAGAAAUGUAAGCCACUUCAAGGGAAUCAGGAGAAACCAAACUGCUACUUUAGAAUUAUACCCUGCUCUCCGCCAUCCAAAUGGCAGUUGGGAUUCACAGACUGCCUCUGAUCUGGGCCUCCGAAGAGCCUCUUCUGCUCAGACUAAGGAUGCUGAGUGUGUCCAUCAGCCGAGCAACCUCUGGUGUGCAAACUGGGUUCACAGCAAGCUUUGCUUCUUCUGACACAACUCAGGAAUGAGACCGUUUGCUUAAGCCCAAAUUCACAUCUCCUGAGUUCCUGAAAUUAUUCCUUGACCUGCAAGGAGACCUUCCCUUGCACUUCUCCUCUUUUCCAUCAUUUCCAUCUUUGGGAAGAAUCCAUAUUUUGCUAAUUCCAUUAAUUAAUCUCAAUAAAGCUAUCAGCA